rnacentral:rRNA from 1 species
GAUGAACGCUGGCGGCGUGCCUAACACAUGCAAGUCGAACGGAAAGGCCCUGAGUUUGUGGGGUUCUCGAGGGGGGAACGGGGGAGUAACACGUGUGUAACCUGCCCUUGUCUUUGGGAUAACAUCAGGAAACUGGGGCUAAUAUAGGAUAGGAGCUCCUGCAGCAUGGUGGGGGUUGGAAAGUUUCGGCUGUCGGGGAUGGACUUGCGGCUUACCAGCUUGUUGGUGGGGUAGGGGCCUACCAAGCCUUCGAAGGGUAGCCGGCCUGAGAGGGUGAUCGGCCACAUGGGAACUGAGACACGGUCCAGAGGACUAAGAGAGGCAGCAGUCGGGAACGGGAGGCAAUGGGCGGAAGCAUGACGCAGUGAGGCCGCGCGUGUGACGAAGGCGCCCGGUGCGUAAAGCCCUCCUUCUGGGUAUGAACCGCUUUCGCCUGAGACGAAGCGUGAGUGACGGUACUGGAUAAAGAAGCACCGGCUAACUACGUG